AAUAGAUACCCCGGUAGUCCACGCCGUAAACGAUGAGUGCUAAGUGUUAGAGGGUUUCCGCCCUUUAGUGCUGCAGCUAACGCAUUAAGCACUCCGCCUGGGGAGUACGGCCGCAAGGCUGAAACUCAAAGGAAUUGACGGGGGCCCGCACAAGCGGUGGAGCAUGUGGUUUAAUUCGAAGCAACGCGAAGAACCUUACCAGGUCUUGACAUCCUCUGACCUCCCUGGAGACAGGGCCUUCCCCCUUCGGGGGACAGAGUGACAGGUGGUGCAUGGUUGUCGUCAGCUCGUGUCGUGAGAUGUUGGGUUAAGUCCCGCAACGAGCGCAACCCUUGACCUUAGUUGCCAGCAUUCAGUUGGGCACUCUAAGGUGACUGCCGGUGACAAACCGGAGGAAGGUGGGGAUGACGUCAAAUCAUCAUGCCCCUUAUGACCUGGGCUACACACGUGCUACAAUGGAUGGUACAAAGGGGCUGCGAGACCGCGAGGUUAAGCCAAUCCCAGAAAACCAUUCCCAGUUCGGAUUGCAGGCUGCAACCCGCC
rnacentral:rRNA from 1 species